GUCUCGGAUAGUUUAACCGGUAGAGCAUUUGGCGCGUAACCAAAAGAUCCAGGUUCGAGUCCUGGUCUGGGCU
rnacentral:tRNA from 1 species